rnacentral:tRNA from 1 species
AUUUAUGUAGUUUAGAGAAAACAUUACAUUUUCAAUGUAAAAACAAUUAAGAUUCAUAAAUA